rnacentral:rRNA from 1 species
GACGAACGCUGGCGGCGUGCUUAACACAUGCAAGUCGAACGGAAAGGCCCUGCUUUUGUGGGGUGCUCGAGUGGCGAACGGGUGAGUAACACGUGAGUAACCUGCCCUUGACUUUGGGAUAACUUCAGGAAACUGGGGCUAAUACCGGAUAGGAGCUCCUGCUGCAUGGUGGGGGUUGGAAAGUUUCGGCGGUUGGGGAUGGACUCGCGGCUUAUCAGCUUGUUGGUGGGGUAGUGGCUUACCAAGGCUUUGACGGGUAGCCGGCCGGAGAGGGUGACCGGCCGCGGCGGGAGUGAGGCGGGCCCCAGGCUGCUGGCGGGGGGAGCGGUGGGGGAUGGGGCACGCGGGGCGGGGGGCUGCUGCCGCCGCGCCGGGUGGGGGCGGGCGGCCUGGGGGUCGUCUGCCGCUGCCGCGUGUGGGGAGGGGUGGGUGACGGGUAGGGGUACACACGCACCUGCUACCGGCGUGGCAGCGGCCGCGGUCAUCGGCGGACGCGCCGGCGUCCGCAC